CAGUAAAGCUUGCUCUCUUGGCGGCGAGUGGCGGACGGGUGAGUAAUAUAUCGGAACGUGCCCAGUAGCGGGGGAUAACUACUCGAAAGAGUGGCUAAUACCGCAUACGCCCUACGGGGGAAAGGGGGGGAUCGCAAGACCUCUCACUAUUGGAGCGGCCGAUAUCGGAUUAGCUAGUUGGUGGGGUAAAGGCUCACCAAGGCAACGAUCCGUAGCUGGUUUGAGAGGACGACCAGCCACACUGGGACUGAGACACGGCCCAGACUCCUACGGGAGGCAGCAGUGGGGAAUUUGGGAU
rnacentral:rRNA from 1 species